AUAUCAAUAAGCGGAGGAAAAGAAACUAACAAGGAUUCCCCUAGUAACUGCGAGUGAAGCGGGAAAAGCUCAAAUUUAAAAUCUGGCGGUCUUUGGUCGUCCGAGUUGUAAUCUAGAGAAGUAAUGCCCGUGCUGGACCGUGUAUAAGUCUCCUGGGAUGGGGCGUCAUAGAGGGUGAGAAUCCCGUCUUUGACACGGACUACCAGUGCAUUGUGGUAUGCUCUCAAAGAGUCGAGUUGUUUGGGAAUGCAGCUCAAAAUGGGUGGUAAAUUCCAUCUAAAGCUAAAUAUUGGCGAGAGACCGAUAGCGAACAAGUACCGUGAGGGAAAGAUGAAAAGAACUUUGGAAAGAGAGUUAAACAGUACGUGAAAUUGCUGAAAGGGAAACGCUUGAAGUCAGUCGCGUUGGCCGGGGAUCAGCCUUGCUUUUGCAUGGUGUACUUUCUGGUUGACGGGUCAGCAUCAAUUUUGACCGCUGGAAAAGGGCCUGGGGAAUGUGGCAGCUUCGGCUGUGUUAUAGCCCCUGGUCACAUACGGCGGUUGGGAUUGAGGAACUCAGCACGCCGCAAGGCCGGGUUUCGACCACGUUCGUGCUUAGGAUGCUGGCAUAAUGGCUUUAAGCGACCCGUCUUGAAACACGGACCAAGGAGUCUAACAUGCCUGCGAGUAUUUGGGUGAAAAACCCGAGUGCGCAAUGAAAGUGAAAGUUGAGAUCCCUGUCGUGGGGAGCAUCGACGCCCGGACCAGAACUUUUGGGACGGAUCCGCGGUGGAGCAUGUAUGUUGGGACCCGAAAGAUGGUGAACUAUGCCUGAAUAGGGUGAAGCCAGAGGAAACUCUGGUGGAGGCUCGUAGCGAUUCUGACGUGCAAAUCGAUCGUCAAAUUUGGGUAUAGGGGCGAAAGACUAAUCGAAC
rnacentral:rRNA from 1 species